rnacentral:rRNA from 1 species
CAAUAGCGUAUAUUAAAGUUGUUGCAGUUAAAAAGCUCGUAGUUGGAUUUGUGGCGGUCCCUGUGGUCCAAUUUUGGUACUCUCGGGGACUGCCAUCCUUGGGUGGAUCCUGUGUGGCAUUAGGUUGUCGUGCAGGGGAUGCCCAUCGUUUACUGUGAAAAAAUUAGAGUGUUCAAAGCAGGCUUACGCCGUUGAAUAUAUUAGCAUGGAAUAAUGAGAUAGGACCUUGGUACUAUUUUGUUGGUUUGCGCACCGAGGUAAUGAUUAAUAGGGACAGUUGUGGGUAUUCGUAUUCCAUUGUCAGAGGUGAAAUUCUUGGAUUUCUGGAAGACGAACUAAUGCGAAAGCAUUUAUCAAGGAUGUUUUCAUUAA